rnacentral:rRNA from 1 species
GACGAACGCUGGCGGCGUGCUUAACACAUGCAAGUCGAACGGAAAGGCCCUUCGGGGUACUCGAGUGGCGAACGGGUGAGUAACACGUGGGUGAUCUGCCCUGCACUUUGGGAUAAGCCUGGGAAACUGGGUCUAAUACCGAAUAGGACCACGCGCUUCAUGGUGUGUGGUGGAAAGCUUUUGCGGUGUGGGAUGGGCCCGCGGCCUAUCAGCUUGUUGGUGGGGUAAUGGCCUACCAAGGCGACGACGGGUAGCCGGCCUGAGAGGGUGACCGGCCACACUGGGACUGAGAUACGGCCCAGACUCCUACGGGAGGCAGCAGUGGGGAAUAUUGCACAAUGGGCGCAAGCCUGAUGCAGCGACGCCGCAUGAGGGAUGACGGCCUUCGGGUUGUAAACCUCUUUCAAUAGGGACGAAGCGCAAGUGACGGUACCUAUAGAAGAAGCACCGGCCAACUACGU